GCAGUCGCCGCGGUAAUACGGAGCGUGCAAGCGUUAAUCGGAAUUACUGGGCGUAAAGCGCACGCAGGCGGUCUGUCAAGUCAGAUGUGAAAUCCCCGGGCUUAACCUGGGAACUGCAUUUGAAACUGGCAGGCUAGAGUCUUGUAGAGGGGGGUAGAAUUCCAGGUGUAGCGGUGAAAUGCGUAGAGAUCUGGAGGAAUACCGGUGGCGAAGGCGGCCCCCUGGACAAAGACUGACGCUCAGGUGCGAAAGCGUGGGGAGCAAACAGGAUUAGAUACCCCAGUAGUCCCUGUCUCUUAUAC
rnacentral:rRNA from 1 species